UACGUAGGGUGCGAGCGUUGUCCAGAAUUACUGGGCGUAAAGAGCUCGUAGGUGGUUUGUCGCGUUGUCCGUGAAAUUCCCUGGCUUAACUGGGGGCGUGCGGGCGAUACGGGCAGACUGGAGUACUGCAGGGGAGACUGGAAUUCCUGGUGUAGCGGGUGGAAUGCGCAGAUAUCAGGGAGGGAACACCCGGGUGGGCGAAGGCGGGGUC
rnacentral:rRNA from 1 species